AUACGGAGGGGGCUAGCGUUGUUCGGAAUUACUGGGCGUAAAGCGCGCGUAGGCGGGUUGGCAAGUUGAAGGUGAAAUCCCAGGGCUCAACCCUGGAACUGCCUCCAAAACCGCCAGUCUUGAGUUCGGAAGAGGUGAGUGGAAUUCCUAGUGUAGAGGUGAAAUUCGUAGAUAUUAGGAAGAACACCAGUGGCGAAGGCGACUCACUGGUCCGAUACUGACGCUGAGGUGCGAAAGCGUGGGGAGCAAACAGGAUUAGAAACCCCAGUAGUCC
rnacentral:rRNA from 1 species